ACGCAGUGUGCACAAAACGAACCAUUCUUUCGCCUUUUAGUAAAGAAUACCGUGUGCACGUUUCUUCUGAAAAUGCUCUAUAAUUCGAGUUGAAAUGAUUUUAUUUUGUUUU